rnacentral:rRNA from 1 species
UAGGGAAUAUUGCACAAUGGGGGAAACCCUGAUGCAGCAACGCCGCGUGAGUGAAGAAGGCCCUUGGGUUGUAAAGCUCUUUAGCGAGAGAAGAAGGUUUGUGGAGUGAAUAAUUCCAUAGGCUGACGGUAUCUCGAGAAUAAGCACCGGCUAAUUUCGUGCCAGCAGCCGCGGUAAUACGAAAGGUGCAAGCGUUACUCGGAAUCACUGGGCGUAAAGCGCACGUAGGCGGACCAGUAGGUCAGUUGUGAAAUACCCGGGCUCAACCCGGGAACUGCAGCUGAAACCGUUGGUCUUGAAUACCUGAGAGGGUGGGGGAAUACCUGGUGGAGAAGUGAAAUUCGUAGAGAUCAGGUGGAACACCGGAGGCGAAGGCGCCUGCCUGGCAGUGUAUUGACGC